UUUUAUUGAUUAAGAAAAUCUAGACGUAUUAUGGCCAACUUUUCGUCAUUUGUCACUUUUGUUGCAAUUGCAUUGCUAGCAAUGGCGAUGCCGCAAGCUCCAGGUAAAAAUUGUCCAGGAGGAUGCAAGGGCUGGAAACUAGCUUAAUAAAAGUUCACCGAACUAUGAAAACUCUUGCUAAUAAAAAACAGAACUAAAGUUCAAUUGUUAAAAAAAA